CCAAUAGCGUAUAUUAGUGUUGUUGCGGUUAAAAAGCUCGUAGUUGAAUUUCGGGAUUGGGAUAUAUCGGUCAUGCCUUUAGGGGCAUGAAUCGGUGUGUAGCCAAUUUCUUACCUUCUGGUGAAUUGGGAUGCUCUUGGGUGUUUCAAUGAACUAGGACUUUUACUUUGAAAAAAAUAUAGUGUUUAAAGCGGGCAUUUUUGCUUGAAUACAUUAGCAUGGAAUAAUAAAAUAGGACGAUGGUUCUAUUUUGUUGGUUUUAGGACCACGUAAUGAUUAAUAGGGAUAGUUGGGGGCAUUAGUAUUCAAUAGUCAGAGGUGAAAUUCUUGGAUUUAUUGAGGACUAACUACUGCGAAAGCAUUUGCCAAGGAUGUUUUCAUUAAUCAAGAACGAAAGUUAGGGGAUCGAAGACGAUUUAUGUACGUCGUAGUCUUAACCAUAAACUAUGCCGACUAGGAAUCAGACAAAGUUCAUUUUUUAACGACUUGUUUGGUACCUUACG
rnacentral:misc_RNA from 1 species